rnacentral:rRNA from 1 species
GACGAACGCUGGCGGCGUGCUUAACACAUGCAAGUCGAACGGAAAGGCCCUGCUUUUGUGGGGUGCUCGAGUGGCGAACGGGUGAGUAACACGUGAGUAACCUGCCCUUGACUUUGGGAUAACUUCACGAAACUGGGGCUAAUACCGGAUAGGAUCUCCUGCUGCAUGGUGGGGGUUGGAAAUUUUCGGCGGUUGUGGAUGGACUCGCGGCUUAUCAGCUUGUUGGUGGGGUAGUGGCUUACCAAGGCUUUGACGGGUAGCCGGCCUGAGAGGGUGACCGGGGACAAUGGGACUGAGGUACGGAGCAGAGGCGAACGGGAGGCAGCAGUGGGGAAUAUUACACAAUGAGCGGGAGCCUGAUGAAGCAGCGCCGCGGGCGGAAUGACGGCCUUCGGGUUGUGAACCGCUUUAGCCUGUGACGAAGCGGGAGUGACGGUAAUGGGUAAAGAAGCACCGGCUAACUACGUG